GAUGAAGAACGCAGCAAAAUGCGAUAAGUAAUGUGAAUUGCAGAAUUCUGUGAAUCAUCGAAUCUUUGAACGCACAUUGCGCCCGCUGGUAUUCCGGCGGGCAUGCCUGUUCGAGCGUCAUUUCAACCCUCAAGCCCCCGGGUUUGGUGUUGGGGAUCGGCUCUGCCCUUCUGGGCGGUGCCGCCCCCGAAAUACAUUGGCGGUCUCGCUGCAGCCUCCAUUGCGUAGUAGCUAACACCUCGCAACUGGAACGCGGCGCGGCCAUGCCGUAAAACCCCAACUUCUGAAUGUUGACCUCGGAUCAGGUAGGAAUACCCGCUGAACUUAAGCAUAUCAAUAAGCGGAGGA
rnacentral:misc_RNA from 1 species